AAAAAGACAAACCCCGGGUUUUCGUGUCUAACUUUGACUGUCCGUCUUAUAUAAAAUUUUUUUAUAAUUCGUAUUUUCAUUGUUGUUAGAUGAUAAAACAUGAUUAAUAUUUUAUGCGUGACUUGUCUUUUUAAUUUUUUUUAUAAUUUUUUCAAAUAAGACGGACGGUCAAACGUUGGACACGGAAACCAGGGUUUGUCUUUUU
rfam:Oryza barthii chromosome 5, whole genome shotgun sequence.